rnacentral:lncRNA from 1 species
ACCUAGGUGGUGUAAAUCCAUUUCAGUUAGUUGAGUUGCUCCAGAGCUGAACUGGGUCGGUUGCGUUUAACUUCGGGGAGGGAGAAGAAUGGUUGUCGCAUCUUAAUCUAUCUGGGAGAGCAAAAGUGAAACAGGUUCCUUUUAUCCCCCUUGUCUUGUUACUGAAUGUAGGGCUUGUAGUGCUUGAUAAUAGGUGGAAAACUUUUUAAACACUUCCUUUUUCUAAUAGCAAUGCUAAUCCUGUCUAGACCAAAAACUAUGAAAGAAAAAACCAAACUGAGAAGUGAAAGCUAACCUACUCCUAACACCUGGCUGGUAUGCCCGAAAGGGUGGAAAUACUGUGAGACAGUCGUGGGAGAGGAGCUUCGAGGGGUUGUUGGCGAGGGAGUGGGUCGUUCUCCUGGCAUAUGUCUUGGUGGUGUGGUGGGAGUAGCAGAAGAGCGAGUGGUUAUUGCCUUGGGAGGGUGUUGCAGCCCCCUCCAUCUGGACUCCAAGGCUCCCUUCUCAUUUCCCUUCAAGGCGGACGGAACGGGCGGAGAAGGGAGGGGUGUGCAUGGGUGUGUGUGCAAGUGCGUGUGCGCCUGGCUGUGCGUGGUGGUCAGGAGAGGUGGGUUUCUAAAGGAGCUCGACUCCACUGGGGCGGGAGAAUUCCCAGUGGCCUCGUAGGGAACCAAAGGCACUGAGAAGUUGUCAGCUCUGCUGUUCUCGGAGCGGGUAAGAGGAAAAGCUGGGUGGGGUGGUUUUGAGCUUUGGGUCAGUGUCCCUUCCUGUAAGGACCUCGUCUCUUGUGGGUGCUCCUGCCUGUUCUGCGCAGAGUUGCUUUGGCUCUGUGCUGACAAACGGUGUGGGGACUUGCCCAGUGCUGCAGGUCCGAGGCUGAUGUUGGGAUACAGUCAGGGAAAACUGUUUCUUUCCUUCGAAUGUGGAAGCAGUGUAGUCCAAGGUCAGAGUCUGUUCAACAGCUUUUGUGUACGGUCUUUCUCUUAAGGGAGGGACCUUGAAGACUCCUUUCUUUGCUCCCCAAAGUAGCCUUGUACAUGUUCAUGUAUCGUGCUAUUGGGCUGAGUUGUUUUAUCAGUGAACUUGGUGAGCUCUUGUGAAGAAAGGGAGGGAGGAAGGGGGAGAGGUGGGUUGUCCAGCUACCCUUCCUCCGGACACCAAUCGGGUUGCAGAACUUCACUGAAAGCUUUACUAAUAGAAUUGUUGUUCUGACAUUAUGUAAAAGUGGUAUUAAUAUUGUGUGACUUUUCAAAGAGCUAGUUAGAUUUAUAGAUAGGUAAUAGGGAUUUUGAAGAAAUGACUUCUCAAAGAAAAGAGCACUUGGAACAAAAGAAGUGGAAAACAAGGUGUGCUUUAAGGAAAACAAAUCUGAGGAAGGAAAUGAAACAGCUUGUGGGAGGCGAGGGAAGAUGAUACCCUUUGGCGUUCCUUAGUGCUGCUGAGGCUCAGCCCCAGAACUGGAACAUACCCCCUCUGCCUUAUUUCAUCUCUCUACCAAACAGGACAUUGUCAAGUAGCUCAGACCAAAAUGCUGAUCUGUCUUAAAACUGUGUCGGUCUGCUGGUGAAUAUUCACCGGCAGAGCUUUACAUAAAACCAUGAGAUACUUAAUUUAUCACGUUAGCAUCCCCUUUCCUCCCCAAAUUUUCUCAUCUGUUGUAGGCCCCACUUCAGGAUUUGAACUGCCUUUGCUGAAUUUUGUAGCAGCAGCUACUUGAGCCCUAUUCCCUGAACGUGGUAGCUUUGUGUGCGGAUGAUGCUGGCAUGUUGCAGUGCUCUAGAAAUCUGAAAUGAUUGAAACGGAAGGAAUCCCAAGACCAUGGCGAUGGCGUGCCGAGGGGCAAACCGUGCAGGUCGCACAUCCCCCUUGAGCAAGAGCACCCGUGACAGUGUCCCGAGAACAAGGCAGUUGAGACAAACCCUUUAGUUCUUCCCCCAUUCACUCUCCACGUGUCGGCCUCUGUGACCCCGGUGCUCCCUGCACCCGAGCGAGUCCGAGGGGAAAGCGCAACGCGAAAGACUUGGAGAUCAGCGCCGCUCCCCGCGAGUUCUGGGGAGCUGGCACGGGCCUCCCUGCGAGGCGGGGAAGGGAAGGGAUCGCUGCAGACCCGCGGGCGGUUUGCAGGGUCUGGAGCAGCGCUGGUCCCCUCGCGUGCCAGCCCUCUCUGGGAAGGACCCAUGCAGUGGUAGCUGCUUCGUCCCCGCCAGUGCUAUUGUUCCAUUUCCUUCCUCUGUGGUAGUAUCUAAGGCUAGGUGUGAGUAGGUGUGGGGUGUUUAUCCGCCACAGGUACAGGAGCUGUCGUAUACCUCAUUUCUAACUCGUAACUGAGUAACUUGCUUUAACUUUCUCCAAACCCUACAGAGUUGCCAAGUCUGCCCUCCCUCCUUUGAUUAACACUGAACUCUGGCCUAUAGCACCCCGUGACCUGCAACCUGGGGAGUGACCCCCUAAACGCCUCUGAAUGUCGCUGCUUAAAAGCUACUGCAAAGUGAGGGCAAAUUGCAAUCGUACCUUUAUUUCCUUUGGUUACAAGGGGUCCUCUUGGUUAGUCUGUGAAUAUCCACCCCCUUCCCUCCACUCUCCGCGGAAAAGGGCUGCCCGCACUGCCUUUCCCACCCUAGGGCAGCGGGGCUGCGCUGAGCUCCGGGGCCCGGAGGCACGCUCGGCCCAGUGCUGCACACGUGCUACUCACUUUGUAACAUGACCAAAAAAGGGAAACAAAAACAAAAAAGGAAAAAGGAAAAAAAAAAAAAAGA